GGUGCCCGGCGCCGACCGCCCCUUUUCGUAGCGCGCCGGAUCCCGGUGCGAGUCGUGGGAGCUGUGGGGUUUCGGAGUUAUGCUGCUCGCGGGGCUCGGGCAGUGCAGGCCGCUGCCGGGAGGACGGCUCGGGCCCUGCCCAGGCAGUAGCAAAGUCCCAGCAGCGCGUGCGGUGCGUGGCUGCUGCCACGGGGGCUGCCGGCCCAGCCCUACGCUCCCCUCGGUUUGGCUGCCCUGGGCCGUCGGGAGCCCCACUCUUCUCCUCAGUGCUGUCAGUCCCGGCCUCGCAGCAAGCCCAGUGUGCUGGGUGGAGGUGGUGGCUGUCAAAAGUAGCCAAGAUGUUGGGUUGACACCAUUAAUUACCAUCUCCGAGGGUGCUGGAGUCUGCUAGGCUCUGUGCCGUGCGGAGUGAAGCGACAUAUUCCCAGCCCCAAGGUGUUCACAAUUGGAGGUGGAUCUGACAACACGAGGGUGUGACAUGACACCACGAGGCUGCAGCAACAGAAUCACGCUUUUGAGAGGUAUUCCUGUGAAAGAGGAAGAAGUGCUCUAGGCGCAGGUACCGGGCACACAAGAAUGGAAGGACUUGCUUCCCUUCAGAGAUGCAGAUGAGAGAAGAUGACAGCUCCCAAGACCUCUUGGAGCAGGAACACGGAUCUGACCACGCAAGGGUGUGACAGCAGGGCAAGGCUGCAGCCAUGGGGUUGCAGAGUGCAGUCCCCGGAAAACUGUAAAAAUGCUCUCAUGAGCUGGUCUGACAAUCCAGGCGCACAGAGUGACUUUUAAACUAAACACUCCUUUUGGAAUAGAGACUGGUGUUUUUAUGCAAGCAAAAGCAUUGCUGUGAUUUAAUUACUAUAUAGUAAGAUGGAAGGUUGAGGGAAAUGCCAGCUCUCAUCUCUUACUUUUUUUGUGAGAUUUAAAAUGCAGGCAGAAGCAAAGUUGAGAAAGUGUUCAGUUUCUUCUGUCCAGACUACUGUCUCUGGCAUUUGCGGUUGCUGACGGCAAAAACAGCAUGGAUUUUGAAGAGGAUUAGACAGACUGGGUGGUUGGAAUGCCAGUCCUGGGCACUGGCCUGACAGUGGGUAUUUAAGGGAACUUAAAACCUGUGCAGUAAUGGUCCCUGACUGGUAUAACUAGAUGUGUCCCACAGGUGAAAUGCAGAGCUGGAGCUGAUGGCUGCACUCCCUCCCCAGAGCAGAGCCAGAUAGACCUCCUGCCUGCUUCCUUUCUGCAGCAAUGGAGCAUCUUGGAAUUUACUUUCUAUGCCACAUUUCCUCCUUGAACUUUUUUUUUGAGUUCACUGCAAGCACCUGGCUUGUUUCUGUCUCUUGACCAGGGAGAGAAAGGAACCCAGGAGGAGAAAGCAGAUGGUAGCAGUAGCCUGCUUUAUCACACUGCUUGCUGGCUGUACUUUUAGGUCUGCUGUGAUUCCCCUCCCAAGGUGACUCCAGCUCCCUCACCUUCCUUUCCCCACAGACUUCGACAUGAUGCCGAUGGCAUCAGGGAUCAUUUCCCAAGUUUAAUCUUGAUGGAUGAAGGCUGUGCAGUAAGGUUUCUUUUGAGAACAUUAUGAACCAGUACUGUAAUGUAAAUUCCAGUAGGCAGAAGAGGAAGAUGCCCAGGUUCAAAAGCUUGGUCCUUUUUCAAUCAGCUACUUUCGUGAAAGUCCUAGGGCUGCCUAAAACUUUUCUAUAUAAAGCUUACAGUUUGAGUAAGAUGCAUACAUACAUAUGCCUGAUUUAGAUACAGGUUUCUUGAAAAGGCUACUUUUUAGCCAAUUGAAAGUCAUUAUGGCAACAUGUAAACAAGACUGAUUGUAAAUCUGUGGAGAGAAAUAAAAUCAGGUGAAAUACAGGUAGAGUGUGGGCUUAUUGGGCAACAAGCCAUAGAUUCUUCUGCUUGCUAAGGGAAACAACUUUACUGUCUGUCCAUCAGGAUAACUUGAGGAACAUUUCUGACACAGGCUGCAUUGGGGAAUGCAAUAUAAAAAUGAGCAAGUCUUUUGUUUAGUACUAGUAGCAGUUAGGUGAUUUGAGCCUUUACAUAUUACCUCUGGGCAGGCUUUCUGUAGUAAAGGUCAUGCAGCACUGGAGAGAAAAUAUCCUGAAAGUUCUUUUCCCUCUACCAAAAAAGGUUCAGCUUGAUUUUAGGAAAUAUUAAAAUAUAGAAAUUGAAUAGGAAAAAAUGCAAGCAGUCGUCAAAGAGAAUCUGUGGGGAAAGUACAGUUCCCAGAACUUUGGAUCUGUGUCACUAUAACUGGCAAACCCCAUUUUCCUUCUUUACUGGCACAUUAAGCAUGGAAAUUUCCUUCUGUUUCUUCUAAGAUAGGCAAGGCAAAUCCAUGUGAAAAAUAAGAUACCUAGAUUAGUGGAUUUUCUCAGUGCAAAAUCUGAUCUGUGUUAGUGUGGGCAAAGGUGGACAAGGCAGUACAGAGAUCCAGAGAUCUUUAUUGGAGUAUACUGUAGGUGUGAUGAAUGCUAAUGAUGUAUGUCAUAUACUGAGUCAGAGCAUUCCUGUCACUCCUGACAUAAUAUCGUAAUGUCUUGCAGCAGUGCAAUUUCAGCCAGAGUCUUUACCUUUAAGAGUCUUUCAUACUCCUAAAGAUGAAAAUGAAUUCACACAGAGUAAGUAUGCUUUCUAUUAGCACACAUUGCUAAAUUACUCAUGUAGAAUUCCCAAAAGAGUGACCGCAGUGGGGAGUCAGGAAAACAACAGAAAAAAAAUGUCCAUAGUUAUUGUAGAGUCAAAUUAAAAUACAAAAUAAAUGACAUAGAUCACAAGAAGCAUAAAUACCAGUGCCUGAGAAGUGUGAUAUUUUUCUGUUGUAGCCAGGACAAAUGAAAUGUUACUGCUUAAAACUAUGGUUUCAAGUGUGCUUUAGAAGACAAAAUAGUAGCAUGAAAUACAAAUUACUUCACUGCCUAAAAGAAUUUUAGCAUAUGAAGGAGAAGAAUUAGCUAAAAUAAAGGAAUCCAGGAAAGAAAGAGACGAAGCUUGAAUCAAGUUAACUAGCAGAGAAGUAAACCUGACAGCCUUUAUUUUAGAACUGGAAGGAAACAGAUUAACAGUGUGCUGGUCUUGCUGGGCAUAGCAGAGCAAUUUGAUUUGUAUUUUAUUUCAUUUCUGCAUAAGGUUAGAACGAGUUCAGUUUGGCCAAAAACCUAACACCGGCAACAGAUGUCUUUAUCUGAGAUGAUCAGUCAGAUCUCCAUUUAUAGACGUUCCCAAUUCAUUACCAGUUUAUUAUUCACCUAAUGCUGUGGUGAAAAUCUAAGGCUUUCAUUUAUUUUUCAGCAUAUAGGGCAACUAGGGAGACAGUAGAAUCUCUGAAAGGUUUUAGGAACAGGCUGGUCAAGCAGCUGCCUAGCUUAGAUUCUGGUUGAGCUGCCUUGGCCAGAGAGAUGGAAUAGAUGACCACUUUUCAUGGUUCUGAAAGUGCAUGCACAUAGUAAUUUUCUGAAGAAGACACAAACUGUACCACGUCUUACUUUCACUGAAUUAAGCUUUCUCACCCAGCAAUUGAAGUGGGUUCUAAAUCAUUCCUCUGCCCCAGAUGAUAUUAAAAAAACAGGUCACUGUAGAUGAAAAAGCUGCGGGUCAUAUCAUUGCAAUGCAAUCAAUUGGAAAGGAGUCUAUCCAGUUUGCUUUGGAACACAUCCAAACAAAGAACUAGUGGAAAACAAGAUUUCUGUGCACAGAUGACAGCCUGAAAGUAUUUUGUAUUCAUUAAAAGUCUUAAAAAUAUUUUGCUUAAAACCCAACUAUUUUUAAUCAUCUGAAAGAUGACUUUUUGUGUAAUCUUUUUCUCUGGUCCCAUAACUUUUGCUAGCAUGAAAAUUUAGAUUUGGGGAGAAUCCUUUUUUAAUCAAAAAAUUAUUUUUUCAGAUCUACAGGCUAUUAAGACAAAUAAUUAGACAAUGUUUUUCCAUCUUUUAAGCACAGUGUAAUUGAUAAAAAUAGUGUUAGAAAAAUCGUAUCUGCAAAUGCAACAUCUGUGUUUAUCUUUCAACCAUAUAAAAUUACAUAAACAUAGAUUCUUCUUUUUAUGAAAUCUAUGAGUAAUUCCUCCUCUGCUCUCUCAGUGCUUGUAUUCUAAGUGAUAGAAAAGUCUAGGCUUGACAACUGUGCAAGACUCAUAUCUUCUGUGUAGAUGAGUGGAGCAGCAUUAACAGAAAUCUUGGAAGUUUUCAUGUGUGCUGUACUGUUUGCGCACGCAGUGUUUGUCAGCACUUCCUGAAUAUGACCGGUGGUAAUAAGACCCCCAAGAGUAAUAAUCAAUCAAAAUUUUCCUGGCCAUCUGUAGAUGUGCAUUCUAUUGAGGCUGUUUCCCUAAAGAUGCCAUUUGCUGGUUUCAGUACUGACAUCUUAUCACAGGGAAAUUUGUAUCCUGCUGUAGUGAGCUCAGUCUCAGAAGCAGAAGUUUAAAUUAGGCUGAGAUCAUCUAGUCAUUUUGCAUCAGUUUGUACAGAGGAAGAGUUGUCCUAAUUUCUUCCAGUAACAUCAAAGUAGAAGAGAUAAUUUGUUAUUACCAAUUAUCUGAGAUAUCUCAGACCAUUACAUCAAUUAUUCAUAACAGUCACUGAUCACGAUAAGUCUCAAUAUGGGUACCUUCUCUUCUUUUGCAAAGAGCAAAAAAUGUAAGACCAAGCCUUGAAAAGCUUGCCAAUUUCAGUGUGUUUCUGUAGAUCCUGCAAAAUUAACUGCAAUAUGGGCAUGAAUAAUCCAAAUUCUGCCAGGCGGGAACAUGUGCUGUUGCUCCUACAUAAAAUACAUCUUGAGUGACAUCUCUAACAAUUACAGUACGGGGAAGCAAAUAUAAAACUAGGUCUCAUCCUGUGAUGCUAGUAGGAGUUUAGGGCCAGGAGAAAAGCAUAUUCAGUUUCCUUUUGCUGGCUGGGCUAGGAAAAUACUUCUUUUUUUUAUUGCAGCAAAUCUUUGUUUUUUAAUCUAAUGGGCCAGAGCUAUUUUUAUAUUUUUGGGGUGAAAUUGAAAUAUGAUUAAUUAGUUGUUUCAUGGUAUUCUGUUGCCAACUGACUGCACAGCAACAAAGCUUAGACUUGUUGUAGCAUCACAGCAUGACAGCUGUCAUUCUAGCAAGCACAAAAUGGUCGAGUAAAUGCUGCGUUGCACCUUAGAAAGAGACGCUUCUUUAAUUCCCCAACAAUUGAGAAGGCUGAGAACAUUUGCCUGUCACUUUGUUCAAGUGACAUGGUGGCUAAUUGCUUUUACUAUUCUUACCUACUUCUACCUUUUCUUUGGUAGGAACAGCAGAAGGAUACCAACAAUGCCAGUCCCACCUUGCUGCUGCAGGACAGAGUGAUUCAUCAUAGUAUCCUCCGUGCACAUGAAUACUAACACACAUGCAUGUACAAUUGGCAAUUGUUUUUUAACUGUGCUAAUAUGAAUGUCAAUGUAAAACAAGCAAUUAUUUGACAAGUUAGUGUUUAGAACCCUUUAUUGUUUAUGUGAUGUAACUUUUAAGUAGCACUGCUUAGAGCAAAUUGGAAAGACUAGACUAGAGAGAUCCUCAGAAAUCCUUUCCAAGCUGGUUGCUUCUACGAGUCUGUGAUUCUAUGAAAGUUGAACUGGUUUUAUUUUCAUCUGAAAUGUAGUAGUUAGUGUAUUAUAUGUGAUAUUUCUAUAAGAAUACUUUCUUGGUAUAUGUUUUUGAGAUACUAUUGCAAUAGAAGAAUUAUAGUUGACAUGCAUUUGAAUUAGUAUAUUUCAGUACUAACUUAACAGUUUAGAAAUUACUUUAUUUGCAAAAAUAAUAGAAAAAAUAUUGGAAAAAUUUGGAGCUAAAUACCCAUAGAACUGGUAUCAAAUUGCAUCAGAUAUUUGCUAAACUGAAACAAACAAACAAACAAACAAAAAACCCAAUGCAAUAAAACCAAAACCCACAACCAAAGAAGCACUCUGUUACUAGCAGAACAAAAGAAUGCUAUCCUUGGUGUUCAGUGGUCAUAUUCAUCCUAUCAGCAAGUGUCAGAAAAACAGAAUAAUGUUAUGUUUUUGUAGGUAGCAAAAGUGGUGAAACCUCCUCCCUUUCUGACUUUAUCUGUUAAACCACAAAGAAAAGGGGUGGGGAGAGAGAAUGCUACAGUUGUAAAGUAAGGUUUUGGGGUCUAAGAAAAAGAAUGAAAGUUAUAAGGGUGGUAAUUUCUGCAGAGAACCCACCAAUUUGUACAUUGUUGUUGCAUGUUUCAUAUGAGAUCAAGUGUUUUCUACUACAGUGUUUGGCAAUACAUUGCAUUUUGGAAAAGGAGAACUUGCCAGUAACAUUUACAAGAGAGGGAAAUGAACCUAGAACAGAGCUGUGUACUCUCUGGGAAUAUUUAUUGCUGGUGUUGGGGCUUUUUUAUUGAAUGGGCAUGCAUUGGGAUGGCAAAAUAAAAUAGUGGCUGGUGUCAAGAUACCAGGGUCCUCUUCAGUUCAUGGUAGAAGUGAGUUAUGUUGUUUGCAGUAGAGUUUGCUCCGUCACUGUCCUUGUUUGCAUGUUCUAGUUCCUUGAAGCAGAAGCUGUGUUAUAAAGUGCAGUUUAUGCAACUUGCUGCUGAAAAGAAAUCCUUUGAUGCAAUUGUGGCUUGUGGUAGGGUCACCAGCAUCAUAAGAGAUGGGACUGCCCUCUGGCCUGUUUCCUGAAGUGUCACUUUUUAAAAUAAAGGGAUUUGGGGAACUUGAAGUUUAUGAGCUGUGUCAUAUCAUAAGUCAGAUCUCACAGGGAUCUUGUGGCAGCCUUGAAGAUGAAAUAGCCUGAAGUCAGUACAAAAAUGAAUUAAGAAAAAAGCCAACAUAAAAAGUCAUGAAUGUGACACACAAAAAAAUUGUUUGACUUUCAUAGAUCUUUCUAGAGGUAAAAUUAUAGAAGAAACAGAAGAUGCUGAUAGCUUGAGUGUGGGAAAUAAAAAACAAAACAUAUAGGUUGUCAGAGCAGAGUGUGGGUGAGGUGCACUGUAAGGGGCAUCACGGUAAGAUGCAGGUCGUAAGAAUUGCUGGUACAGCAAACCUUUUCUUGGGAGCUCAUGGGAGGAAGUGCUUUUAGAGCAGUGUGACGUAUUCAGAAACUACAUCUGUCUUGCAUGUGGUAACUGAAAACUGCCAAGGGGAAUGGAUUGUGGGAAGCAAAUCCCCCAUCUCAGAUCCUCCACUUGAAGACUGUCCCCGCAUCCAACCUGAGGCAGUAAGGCAGAAAAUGGGGAUCCAGAGCGAGCUGGUGUCUCUGCAAGGGUGGUUUUUCUCAGCAUUUGUACGCUUGGCACAGACUUUUACAUGCCACAGUAAUUCAGAUAUCCAGGUCUUCAGUAUCGCCCACAGAAUCUCCAAACUGGGUGAUCCCAGGUCAAGCCUUGCCUCAGUUAGGUACUUUGAUAUAGUCACUACUGGCUAUCGGUUGCUUUUGGUAACAGCUAAAUGAAAGAGGCUAGAGAACUAAUGUAGCUAAUGUAAACUAUGUGGAAAAUGAGUUAUAGCAGCAUGUGUGGUAGAUUCACCUGUGAGAUAAUCUGUGAGCAGUUGUUCUUAGUGUUUCUGCUUUCGACAGGGAAAGGCAGAGGUAUUGUGCAUGGUGCUGUACUCAGGAGGGCUGCAGGAAAGCACAGCCUCAAGAAUUCACAGCCCACUGUCCCACUUUUCAAUCACUGAAAGUUUUCCCUGUGUCUUUUUUUUCU